rnacentral:rRNA from 1 species
GUCCUACGGGGGGCAGCAGUGGGGGAUAUUGCACAAUGGGGGGAACCCUGAUGCAGCGACGCCGCGUGGGUGAAGAAGCGCCUCGGCGCGUAAAGCCCUGUCAGCAGGGAAGAAAAUGACGGUACCUGAAGAAGAAGCCCCGGCUAACUACGUGCCAGCAGCCGCGGUAAUACGUAGGGGGCAAGCGUUAUCCGGAUUUACUGGGUGUAAAGGGGGCGCAGACGGCGAUGCAAGUCCGGAGUGAAAGCCCACGGCCCAACCGUGGGACUGCUCUGGAAACUGGGCGGCUUGAGUGCGGGAGGGGG